rnacentral:lncRNA from 1 species
GAAUGAUGACCGUUAAUUACAAACUUAAUUUGCACCUGUUGGGGGAUAUCCACCGACCGACCGACUGGCGGUCCGACCGACUGGCGGCCCGACCGACGGACUGGCGGCCCGACCGACUGGCCGACCGACCGACCGAUCGUCGGUCGGGGCGACCGACUGACGGAUGCCAUCAGCGGCUAACAACCGGCCAUUCAACGGUCCAUCGCCGACUGGGGA